AACGAACGCUGGCGGCAGGCUUAACACAUGCAAGUCGAACGCCCUCUUCGGAGGGAGUGGCAGACGGGUGAGUAACGCUGGGAACCUACCCAGUAGUACGGAAUAACUCAGGGAAACUUGUGCUAAUACCGUAUACGCCCUACGGGGGAAAGAUUUAUCGCUAUUGGAUGGGCCCGCGUUGGAUUAGUUUGUUGGUGAGGUAACGGCUCACCAAGGCUACGAUCCAUAGCUGGUCUGAGAGGAUGAUCAGCCACACUGGGACUGAGACACGGCCCAGACUCCUACGGGAGGCAGCAGUGGGGAAUAUUGGACAAUGGGCGCAAGCCUGAUCCAGCCAUGCCGCGUGAGUGAUGAAGGCCCUAGGGUUGUAAAGCUCUUUCAACGGUGAAGAUAAUGACGGUAACCGUAGAAGAAGCCCCGGCUAACUUCGUG
rnacentral:rRNA from 1 species